rnacentral:lncRNA from 1 species
ACUCUGCGCCGACCGGCUGGGCCUGGCACCCGCGGGCGGCCCCAGCCUCAGUCUCCAGCUACCUUUGCCUCCUGCGGCCGCCCCCAGGCAGAGCUGCGAUCCCACCGCCGGGGGUGCAGGGAGAGGGAAGAUCUGGCCUCCUUGGUCCUUUUGCGUGGGCUCUUCAGAGCGUGAGCGCCGGGGAGGGACUCCGGAGAAAAGCUUGGGGGGCUGCGUAUUGCUGCUCCCCAAGCUGGGCGUCAGGACCAACCCCGCCGCCCCCACGGGCCUGACGGGAGAGGAGGAAGGGCUCGGGACGGUCGGCUCGCCGAGCCAACCAGGUGGCGCCUGAAGAGCUGUCCAUGGUGUCGACAGCCCAGCAAACGGCACCGAGUUCCUAGUCUGAGUGUCUGGAUAGGUAGCAGAAGAAAAACUAAUGCCUGCUCUGGGACAGUUCUGUUCGGUGCCUUUUCUUGUGUGUUCUGGAGCUCACAGGGUUCUAUCGAAGAGUGCUUAGGUGUAUACGAUGGAGAGUGGGACGUCACAAACCAGGAUCUCAAGGCUGAGUCCAACAAAACAUGGCCGUAGGGAGGCCACGACAGCUGUGGUUGUCACCGACGGAUGAAUAGCUUUUGCCAACCGUGGAAUUUAGUAACUAAAGGCACCUAACCCUUUUAUCUCAUCCUCAUUUUUCAACAAAUGGUGCUUCCUGGCUAAUAUCAGCGUGUCCCAUAGAUUUCUGCUUCCAUUGAAUAGACCUAAUAAGAAAGAGAAUGAAGUCAAAGCCAACAGGGCAGAAAGAAAUUGAAAACCUGAAGAACCCAGCACUCAAACUGUCUCCACUUGCGUUUGCUUUUUCUUUACCUCUUCUCCUUCUGGUUUUCAACAGCCAAAGCAGGAUUUAAAUUUGGUUAUGUUGCAAAAAUCAUUUCCCUCUUCAGGCCCUGUCAUGUGACUUGAUUUUUUCGUCCAUUUUAGAGAAGCUGUACCCACCCUGGUUUCAGGACACGGAACUAAAUUUAUUAGAAAAGAAGCCACUUCAAGUCAUGAAGGAGAAACACAAAGAUUCUUGGAUUUAGUUCUAAGAACUAGAGGGGAUUUCUAUGUCAGUACUGUCUCAGAAAAAACUGUUGAUAUCAAAUGUGUUGCUUGAGAAGUACCUUUUUUUUUUUGAGACGGAGUCUCGCUCUGUCCGCCCAGGCUAGAGUGCAGUGGCGCGAUCUCGGCUCACUGCAAGCUCCGCCUCCCGGGUUCACGCCGUUCUCCUGCCUCAGCCUCCCGAGUAGCUGGGAUUACAGGUGCCCACCACCACGCCCGGCUAAUUUUUGUAUUUUUAGUAGAGACAGGGUUUCACCGUGUUAGCCAGGAUGGUCUCGAUCUCCUGACCUCGUGAUCCACCCGCCUCGGCCUCCCAAAGUGCUGGGAUAACAGGCGUGAGCCAUCGCGCCCGGCCGAGAGGUACCUUUUAUGACAACUGAAAUCAUUCAGUUUCAAGAGGAGUUGGGUACUGAAACCAAACUUGCUUACUCCAAAGCCCAAAAUCCUUUCCACCAUGCCUGUGUGUCUGUAAGGCUACACUAGAAAUGCUUCCUUUCUUAUAGUGGGAAGCAUGGGUACUAAGCUCUUUUACGAACAAGUGUUCUGCAUAUUCCUGGUUCCUUUUUAUUUUGGACUGAGGAGAUUUAGGUCAAAAUUUCUGGGUUCUGGGUUGGAAUUCCAGCUUCUUUCUUCAAAUUAAACUGGGGGGUAGCAAGACUUAUUCCUAGAUUUGUUAGAAGGCCACAGCUUUUCCACAUCUCAUUUUAGUCAUGAAAAAGACACAUGCCCAGAGUUUGAAAAACAUAAAGGCAAUUUGACUAGUGGCUUGAUUGGUUCUAUCUUCUUUUUCUUGUCCCUCUUUCCUAUUUAUACUUCUACUUUUGUUACAGCAUUUGACAAUAGUUGGAAAAAUUUUCACUGACCUUGAAAUGUCUUUGGGAUAGGGUGACUUAAAAUAUAGGUUAAGUGGCAUACACAAACUUCUUAGUGAGAUCCUAAGGGCCUACAGAGACAGGCUGACACCAACUCAACCCUUGAAACUGUGCAAUGAAGAGCCUGUGGGAGGCUAAAAAACGCUACUUCAAAAAGAGAUCCUUGUCUGUGAAUGUUAAUUUAGGUUUACAGAUUUGAUUAAGGGUCUUGAGAUUAUUUUCAAUUAUCCAGGUGGGCCCUAGAGCCCUAGAUGCAAUCAUAAGUGUCCUUAUAACAGGGAGGCAGAGGAAAAUUAAACACGCACACAGGAGAGAGAGAGAGAGAAAAAAAAGUGAUGUGAAGACAGCAGCAGAGAUUGGAGCGAUGUGGCCAUAGCCAAGCUAUGUCAGCAGCCAUCAGAAGUUGGAAGAGGCAAGGAAGGAUUUGAGCCUAGAGCCUUUGGAAGGAGCAUGGCCCUGUUGGUUCUGGCCUCCAGAACUGCAAGAAAAUACAUUUUUGUUGUUUUAAACCACCCAGUUCAUGGUAAUUUGUAACACCAGCUACAAGAAAUUAACACAAGGCUGAUGUGACUUUCCAUCAGGAGAGAGACAGCCCCAGGUGAGACCUGCCUGCCUCAUUGUCUGACAGCUUUCCCAGCCUCCUCCAGGCUCCCCUCCGUUUUCUCUUAUACGCAUUCCCCCAAUAAACUUCCUGUACAUUUAAUACCAUCUCAGUGUCUGCUCCCAGGAGGACCCUAACUGACACACUGGGGCAUUUAGCCUCCAAUUCCUUUUCUCCCUUGGCUGAGAUCUGUUCCAGGAAGUAUCUCCAGGACACUCCAGCCUGUUGCACAGGCCAAAGAAAAGCCCUCAGGCAGAGGAGCAAAUACUUGCAAGAGGACACCAGUGGCAAGAACAGGGACAUGCCACCCUGUGAAGACGUGCCUUUCGUCAAGAUUGUAAGUUUCCUGAGGCCUUCCCACCCAUGCGGAACUGAAAAAAUCUUCCUGUGACUUCCUACAACUUUUGGGAUAAGGACCAAAGUAUUUCAAAUGACCUACAAGAUCCUCUAUCAUCUGGACUAUGGACUUACUUGCUCACUCCAGCUGUCCUAUGCUUUCUUCAGCGCCUCCAGUGUAGCCUGCUCUCUUUCACCUCAGGGCUAACUUCUAUUUUUUCUCCAGGUCGAAUGAUCUAAAUAUCACUUCCUCAGGGUGGAAGGAAAUCUUCUGGGACUAGCUAGUCAAGGUCUCUGUGCCCCUUGUCAUAUGUUCCACAUUACCUUGAAUGUCCCCUUUCAUAACUCAUCACACCUGAGAUUACCUAUUUGUUGUCAACUGUGCUGGACUGUGAACUCCACAAAGAUUCCACUUCUAGCUUACUCAGUGCUAUAUCCCCGAACCUCAGAAGAGUAUCUGCUACAGCAGUACUCCUUAUCUGUGGUUUCAGUCAGCUGUGGCACAGUACAAUAACAUAUUUUGAGAGAGAAACUACAUUCAUAUAACCUUUACCACAGUAUAUUAUUAAUAACUGUUCUAUUAUUAGUUAUUGUUAAUCUCUUACUGUGCCUAAUUUAUAAGUUAAACUUUAUCAUAGGUAUGUAUGUAGAGGAAAAAACAGUAUAUAUAGGGUUCGGUACUAUCUGUGGUUUCAGGUAGCCACUGGGCAUCUUAGAACAUAUACCCCAUGGAUACAGGGAGGACUACUGUAGUCUACUUGCUGAAAAAAUUAAUUGUGGCUUAGUCAGGCAUUUCGUUGAGUACGAUGGACCUUACUUUGGAACUCAGAAAUCACUUUCUCCUGUGAAAAUAUCAAACUUGAAUGAACUUUUGGAAUAAAAUACUUUGUAAAAUGGAGAUUUUGGGUAUAGAUAUAAAUAGAUCUAAGCCUAUGGAGUUAAUAAAAAACAAAACACUCUAAAAAAUGUAAUAUAUGAAGUCAAACGAAAUCUGAGUCUUUU